rnacentral:lncRNA from 1 species
CCGAAGGAAUCUAUCUGGCGUCCAAGAAGAUGUGUCUGACCAGCGGUGCCAGACUUCAGCUUCUCAGAAGAUAUGUGGGUCCCAGUCAGAUCAGACAUCGAAUGUGCCGAAGAGAGUCGCUGAGGACCCAAAAGGAAAGGCUUUUUUGGUUUGGAUUUCAUCUGCAUUUCACCACUUGAAAAUUCAGUACUGGCAUCGGGGAUGUGAGAACUUGGAAUGAUGGCAGAAGACGUAUCAGAAAAUGUCCCAUCGUUUUUUCUACCUUUCAUCUUAUCUUUUAAUUUUGCAAAAGGAGACCUUGUUUUGUCCUUCAUUGAUAAGUCAAACAUACUUGCUGUCAUAUUGUUCCUCAUGAAUUGAAUAUUGACCUUUAUCUCACCCCUGUUUUUGGCUCUUUUUCCUUGUUUGGAUUCUAAUCUAAACCACCUUAAAGAGAAGGAAAAAAAAAAACUGGGUUGUAACAUGUAACAAAGAGAGGAUAUGUGCUUGUUAUGUACAAAUAGCUUUUCAGGCUAAGCUAUUAUUACAAAUUAAGGCACUCUAAGCAUGACAGUGAUUAUGUGUCCAUCUGACGUAAAUAUUGCUAGUGGCCCAAGAACACUGUUUAAGCUUAAAAGACACUGAGGUAAAGACUACUGAAAGAAUUCAUCAAUACAAACUACUUUUGAGCACUAUAAAAUGAUAAAGGAUCACAUUUUUUAACAAAUACAUAUUUAGCCCCAACCCCCAAAUAUUUCUUCUCUAAAAACUACUAAAAGAAUGUUGUUGAUAUUGGAGACCACUGCACCGGAGUUUGCUAAUCAUGAAAAUUACAUGUGAUGUGAAUUUAGAUCCAUGUGAAGUGGGUCAAAGUCUUCUCCUGAAUAAAAUCUGAAAAAUGUGUAAAACGUAGGAAGUGACAAUUACUAAUAACUCUUGUAAGGGUUUUGAAGAAAAGAGAAAGCCUAAAUGCUUCCUGUUAGAAUGGACUUGCUUCAUUUGCUAUUGCCACCGUAACAAUACCAAAUAAAAAUUCUCUUAAUUGGGGCCAAAUCUUCUGCUUUUAGUCAGUUCGCCGAAUUGCACUGCCCGUUCUCAAAUGACGUUACAGGAGUCCCCCUUAUCCGCGGUUUCACUUUCCACGGCUUGUUACCAGUGGUCAACCGCCUUCUGGAAGAAGAUGAUCCUUCUGGUACUUCCUCAGAAGGUCGGCGGUAGCCUCAUGCUAGGUCACGAAGCCUACAUCACUCACCCCACUUCGUCUCAAUCCGGAGGCAUUUUAUCAUCUCACAUGAUCACAAGAAGGAUGAUUACAGGACAGUAAGAGAUGUGAAGAGAGAGACCCCAUUUGCGUUACUCUUAUUAUAGCAUAUGUUACAACUGUUCUGUUGUAUUAUGAAUUUCUUACUGUGCCUAAUUUAUAAGUUAAAUUUUAUGACAGGCACACAUAUAUAGGGAAAAACAUAGUGUAUCUAGGGUGGGGUACUAGCCACACUUUUAGGCAACCACUGGGGUCUUGGAACGGAUGCCCCGUGGAUAAAAGGGGCUACUGGAUAAGAGGCAAAGUUUAUUUUGGUUUUGUUCACAGUACUUUUAUCCAUGAGAAAGUCUUCAGUUGUCAGUGUUACAAGUGGUCAUUCUAUAGGGAAAACAGCCAAGAGAAAAAGAAAAAAAUUUGCAAAAUCGAGCCUAGAAGAAGGUUUCUACAGUGUUUUCCCAUUACUUAACAAUGAAGCAUAAACCGCACACAGGUUAGUACUUAAAUACAGCUCUAAUAAAGUGUAACACAUUUUCUUAGCUACAAAGGAACUCUGAUCUAAGUUUACAUUAGUACUUUCUCUCCUUGUUACUAAGAAGAUACCCAAGAAGAAGCUUAUGUUUACCAUACACCAAGUGAAGACUGGUUCACGGGUCUUUCCAGGCAGGAGAGGAAAUUAGCACAUAGCAUAUAUACCAGCCACAUCUUAGCAAGCAGCACACAAGAGAAAUAUUUUCUUCGUUAAUUUGAGGCAUUUCAAUCAAUUAAGAUUUAGUUGCAUCAAAGCAAGCAAUUUAUUAAAAUAAAGUAUUUUAUAACAGAAAGCCUUAAUCAGAGACCCUAAACCGAGAAAAGCCCUUGAGGCCAAUGGUGAAAUCUGAAGACACAGGGACUAGAAAUAAGAAAUGACAGCAAUAAACUCUGUGGAAUAGAAAACCUUGAACAAUACAGAACUUAGCACUUGAAAAGCUUGGUGAUAAAACAAGGUUAUAUACCCAGUUAUUAAUUCCCAGUUUGGGAUAAUAAAGCCAUUUUAAAUAGGGGAGAAAUGCUUCUGACGGAGGGUACAUGGGAAAUAUUCUGUACCAUUUUAGGCUUUACACAAAAUAAGCGAAAUACACUUUGCAAGAAACAUACCAAAAACAAAACAAAAAACCUACGCAUGUAGGCCUUUCAUGUAUAUAACAAAUCAAAGCAAAUCUGGGAAAAAAAAAUAAACCAAUAAACCAAUAACCCAAUAAAUGGAAGAGGGUAGAAGUAAUCGAAACUCACUGAAUUUCAGAGAUAAGGCCAAACCAAUCAUCUAAUUUAACAUCCACUUUUCACAGAUGAGGAAAUUGAGGCACAAACGGUAAGUAACUUCCCAAUGUCAGAUUAAAGUUCAAUAAGGAAAAUAUCCAAGUGGAUGAACAACAUGUGCAUGAAAACAGUUGCUCUUUCCUAUGUGAUGAACCACAUAUGUUAGUAACAUUAAAGGCAGGGCUGGUCACAUGUUAUAGAACACUCUAUUUAAUCAAGAGACAGUGACAGCCAAAGAGGAAGGCAGCACAGGUUUCCUACUGCUAAAGGGUAAGCUACUUGAAGAGUUUGCCUUGCACUCAAUAAAUGUUUACUGAAUACUUUUUCUAAAACUCUAUUUUUAACACAACCGAGCUAUAAUUCCGUGUGUGUGUUGCAUUGUUUUAUUUUAUGGUAGGGAACACUAAAGACUUAGGUAAGCUUUGAAGGAUCAAGCAAGUCGGUAUUUGAAUACAAACUGUAAAUAUAGUAUAUUUUCCAUCCUCCCCCCACCCCGCCCCAAGGAGAAAACUGCAAAGCACUUUUAACGAAUAUAUAAACUUAAAAUUUAGGCAUGACAAAUAACUUCAGCUGCUUUGUUUUGAAAGUGAUAUAAUGGGGAAGAAGUCUUAAUGAGACCUUCAAGAAUCAUUCCAGAGAUAGUACUUAUUUUCCCAGGCUUCAGAAAGAUAAAAUGAAGACACAUCAUUUGGGGCUUAGUGGAUUAAUGCUGAUUUUUUUCACCUCUGGAGUACCGGGUUUCAACUGCGUCUGGCCUCUGUUCAAUUUUUAGCGGGCACAGGCCCAUGUUCAAAAGCCACCACACAUGUGGGAACUAUUCCCAAGCAAUCGAUGCUGUGUGGUCAGAAACGGGACAAGAUUGGCAGGAAGGGUGCCAGAGGCCAGGACACAGGUGCACUGCAGACUCACACAAAAGUCCUAAAAUCUGCAUGUGUUUGAGUCAUACCUAACUCGAGGGACUCUGAUUGUUAUUACUUUUCAUGAGCAUUUAAAAAAAAAAAAAAAAAAAAUCAAUAGAUAUUACAUAACAGCAUGAACGAUUUUACCAUCCUAUUAUUAAACAUUGUAUUAUUUCCUUAAAUCUUGUGCCAGAACCAACCCAGACACUCAUAAAAGUGGGAGAUACAGAAGUUCUCUUUCCGUGCCCCACUCAAAGUGUUCUGGCUCAGGCCCUUUCCCUCUCCUGACAGGAGAAGAGAAGAAAAGAAAAGAAAAGAAAAAAAAAAGGCAUUUAAUUUCAAAUCAUAAAAAUAAGCAAAAUAAGAGUUUUAGCCUUCAUGCUUCUCUCCCUAUCAUGACACAAUUGGAAGACAAGCUGUAAAUACUUGUCUUCAGCGUCGAGAGUAAAAAGUGUCACACCCAGCAGCUUCAUGGGACUUCUAAAUCAGCUGGUGGCCUUCAUCACUCAUACCGGUUUUCUAAAAAGCACUUGGGGAUAGGCCGACAAGGCUCAGCACUGUGCAGAAUAUUAAAUAUCUUUCUUGCAAUACACCGGUGGCUCAAGUUCAUCGCUCACUGUGCCACGUGCACAGCUGUGCUGCAAAAGGAAGCUAUUAAAUAUAUUAAAAACCCAGAAAUAUUACCAAUAAAGAUAUCUCAUCAAAUAUGUGGUCCUCAUUUAUCCACAAAGAAAAUGGGAUUUAAUAACAUAUGAAAAUCGCUUCACAUGCAAUAAACAUCACAAGCCCUGUUGAUAACAUUUAAAAGCGUUUUCCCCCUAAAAGUUCUUAUCAGUUUUAUGUAGUGGCCAAUAGAGAAUUCCCGUAGGGAGACUACGAUAAGAGAGUGUUGCUUAUGAUCAAAUUUAUUGUCACUCGGAUGCUGACAAAGAUAAAGAGUACAACAAGAAGGAACUUUAAAAGCUUAGUUCAUCCUCUGAGUUUCCGAAUUCACAGUUGGGCCUACUUUCACUCAGAAAACUUCUAUUGGAGAGAAGGCCUGAGAUACAUCAUUCGAUAACCUAAAAAGUACCAAAAGUGCAGCAUAAUAUUUCAAGUUAUAAUAUACUUAAAAGUUUACAUUCAAAGCACUUUAAAUAUUAUAGAGUGAGUGCCAUCCAAAGUUGGUGAUUUGAAACAAAUUAUUUGCUAAUUAUCCACUUUUUUUUUCAGUUUAAAUUUGAUGAAGAACUCCUCAGGGGAAACUGAAUACCACUCUGUAGGAAUCAAACAGUGAUCAACAUCACUGAUUUAUAUUCAACUUUACAUUUUUUAAGCCCUUUCUCUUUUUCUUAAAAUACUGUUAUCUCUUGGUGAGCUUAAACGUUUACCAUUUUCCCUCAUGCAUUCCCAGUACUUAUCCCUGUACCCUUUUACCCUGCGUAUAUUAAAUCUUACAUACAGUUCCGAUUUCAAAAGACAUUUUUUAAUAAAAAUAAAAACUGCAACCAGGAGAAGCCUGCAGGAAGAUAUGUACAGAAAAUAAUAAGACACGGUUGUUCUAAAAAUGUAAGAAAUUAACACGAACCUCAAGAAAGUUACGCUUAUAAAAAGUUUUUAAAAGGGCAAAUAAAUUUCAGUUAUGACUGAAAGAAACACCAAAGCUGCUUCGGAAACUUGAAGUCCUGUUAUAAAUUCAACCUGUAUUUUUCUCUCAUUAAUUCCAUUAAUCUUAAGGGUCUCUCAGACCGGAAUAAUUAUAGGCUUAAGAAAGGGUGAGUACACCUAUCCCUGGAAAUUUACUAUUUUUCGACUUGAGACAUAACAUCCAGUGUUAAAUUAUAUUAUCCUUUUUUUAAAUGAGAACGUAUCUACUCUAAGCUUGAAAGUCACAGGUAAAAGGUCAUGUUUGUAUUGAAAAGGUCAUCAAAUCACUCCAUCAGAACUGAACCCUUGUCUCCAAUCUGAGAACAUUCCACAUAGUCUAAACAUGCCGACUUUACAGAACUAAUUCUGAAGUAAUACACUCCCUCCAAUACGUUGUAAAUUCAAAGAAAAAUGUUAGUGUCUAUUGAAGGUUGAGAAUAUUUGUACAUAGUUUUCAUUUUUUUUUCUUGUAACGGCUUUAGACUCCAUCAAGCUGUACUGACCCUGAAAGAUGGUUGAGCUAAAAUAAAGGCCAAGUUUAUAAAGCUGCAAUGAAAUACUGAGCUCUAAAUUUGGUAAUUUAUCUUCUGACAGAGUUCAAUUGUGACCUGAUAUUGGAAGACUUAAUUUUCUGAUGUUCCAAUUCCUGGAAAAUUGUAAUGUUUAAUGAUUAUAACAAUUUACACAUACAUCAAGUUUUAGUUGGUCAACACUGGGAUCCAGUCCUCCUAGGAGUAGUGAAACAAUGUCAAUUUACUUACAAUUCAAUGCAAAAUAUUCAAUUAUUUAAGAUGUUUCCCUUAAAUGCAAAAUGAGAGUAAUGGAUCUUUAACGACUCCAUUUAAAAAAUAUUUCUUCACAAGGGCUACUUCGACUUCAGAUGUGUGCAAAUGUGGUGCCCAAAACUAGGUCAUGUUUCAGUCCAAAAACCAACGCCCCAGUUACACAAAUAAUUUCCAAGAACAGAAAAUCCAUAAAUAAGAUAUCAUCUCCCCCCAAAUUCAAAAUAAAUUAUAUAACUUA